rnacentral:rRNA from 1 species
CCUACGGGAGGCAGCAGUGAGGAAUAUUGGUCAAUGGGCUUACGCCUGAACCAGCCAAGUCGCGUGAGGGAAGACUGCCCUAUGGGUUGUAAACCUCUUUUGUCAGGGAGCAACGCCGGCUACGUGUAGCCGGACUGAGAGUACCUGAAGAAAAAGCAUCGGCAAACUCCGUGCCAGCAGCCGCGGUAAUACGGAGGAUGCGAGCGUUAUCCGCAUUUAUUGGGUUUCAAGGGUGCGUAGGCGGAAUGCCAAGUGAGCGGGAAAAUGGCGGGGCUCAACCUCGCUCCGCCGUUGAAACUGGGGUUCUUGAGUGGGCGAGAAGUAUGCGGAAUGCGUGGUGGAGCGGUGAAAUGCAUAGAUAUCACGCAGAACUCCGAUUGCGAAGGCAGCAUACCGGCGCCCAACUGACGCUGAAGCACGAAAGCGUGGGUAUCGAACAGGAUUAGAUACCCUUGUAGUC